ensembl:lincRNA
CGUGGGCGCCCCCCAGGCCCCCGAGUCCCCAGCCUCCGCCACCCCGGCGCCGGCCCUCUCACCCUUUCAUUCUCUGCCCGGGGCCUGGCGCGGGCCGGCGAAGCCCCGGCCUCACGUAAGCGUGCUCGCCGCCCGCCCUGCUUGCGCGGCCCAGCCCGCCGCCCUACGGGAGCCCGGGGAUGUGGGCCGGGCCUGGGGCCGCUUCUGCUUACCUUUCAGCUGCUUUUUUUUUUUUUUUCUCCUUCCCCCCUUUUCCCUCGGCUGGGCUGACAGAUCAGAGUGAGAGGCGCUGGCAAUGGACUAGGAAGCUCGGCUGCCGCUGCUACUGCUCCCCCCUGGGCUCCGGCGAGAGCCUUUCCCUGUCAAGCAAGAGGGCCAAGAAGGCAGGGCUGCCGGGGCUGCACAAGAAGAGGCAGCAGCCUCCUACAGCACCACUACAGGCACUGCGAGGACAUAACACCAGAGAGCCGCUCCUCUGCCCUCCGAAACGACAACUUUCCUACCAUCUUGGAGGCAGAGCAAAGGGGGGCCAGGGGGAAAAGUGCACCCGCUCCCGAUAAAGUACAAAUUUCUACUUCUCAUCUCUGGAAAAAAGUCUCCACCGGCCGUCUCCACCGGCGCCUGGGGGAGAAAGCGGGGAAGAAACUGGGGGUGCCUCAGAAACGUUUGCGUUUACUCCGGGGGGAAAAUGUUUCUGCAUCUUCUGAUGGAAAGAAAUCUUUACAAGACACAGGUUUUCCGGUGAUUAUUGAUUUCUGUUUUCUAUUUAAUUUUUUUUCCAUGUUCGUGAUAGCGGUAUUUGAAUUUUUUUUCAGCCUAAUAAUGAUUUUUUUUUCCAUUACAGAUCUAAGUUCUGGGUUUGAUGGUCAGUUUAUAAAUUUGAACUUCAAGAGAUUUCCUAGCCACUUUAUUUGUCUGCUUAUUUAUACGUUUUUGUGUAUAGAGAUAUUUCUUUCCUUUUAUAUAUAAAUUUGUGCUAUAUAUUCCCUUCCAAACUGAGAUUGCUGAAGACAGUUUUAAAGGGAUGUCUUUUGUCUCCUUUUCCCAAAGCAAUCUAAAUAAAACCUCUUGACUCUCCAGAAAGGCAAGAUACAGCUGUUUAUUUUUCACAGUGCAAAUUAAGACAGAGAUCCACUGGGGGGUUAAAUACAACUCAAGUAUAACUGACCAUGUUUCUAGAAAUAAUCCUAACGCUCUUAUGGUCUGCUUGUGAAGAAAGAUUACUGGGAAACUGCAAAUAGGCUAUAAAGACAGAUUUAGAUUUUCUUUAAGUAAAGUUGCUUACUUAGAAUUAUAUCCAGGCAUUUAAUUUUUGUUGUUGUUGUUUAGUUUAUAUCCUUUAAAAUUUAGAUUUUUGGUGCAUUGCACAUGUUGCUGACCACUUUCUGUGGCACAGAAUUGAGAAUGAGUAUGUCUGCUUUUGUUAGAGUUGAAAUGUUCAGAACUUCCAAUGUGUUGCCAAGCUAUGAGUUACUUUUAAUAUAUUACAAUGGAUGUCAUGAAUCAGCUUUUCUUAAAUGAGCAAAAGGUUAGUAGAUAGAGGGGAUCAAAGUUACCCAGGAUAGGGAGAUGAAAGCUGAAGUAACAGAGAGAUGAGGGGCAGAAGGAUGCUGCUCUCUUGCAACAAUGCCAUAGAAAUCUUACUGGAGGAGAGCAAAUCGCAGAGAUAUUUUGCUAUUUUUGUAAAGAAAGAGAAGAAUACUAGAAAAUGAACAAAAGAUCUUUUUGUAUUUCUACAGGGAGUGAUGAAUCUUGUACUAAAAGUUAUUUUUCUGAUGCAGAUUGCCUGACAUAGUGGAAAUGAAUUUGUAAUAUCAGUGCCUUGUAUCAGUAGAAUAUUUAAUUCCUUUAAUUUAAAAUUGACUAAAAAGCAUGUAGAAAUAACUGAUGACUCACCUUAAACUGUUUAUUUUUUUGAGCUUUCAAAUGUCAAAAUUCCCAUAAUGCUAAAGUGAGUUCAGAUAAUGCAUAUAACAGAUAUUAAUUAUUUUCAUUCUCACUCGAAUCUUUAUUAUCUCAGGUUGAAUACAGUACCUGAAUAGUCUUGGUUUUUUUCUGGGGUUUUUUCCUUACUAUUUGCUAGAAAAAUCUGAGGUAAUUAAAGUAAAAUUAACUGAUUCUUAGCAUCUCAGAAGCCUCAGUUUUAAAGUUGUGUUCUAGUUACAAUUUUGUUUUUUUUUUUUUUCUCUCAGAAGCCUCAGUUUUAAAGUUGUGUUCUGGUUACAAUUUUUUUUUUCUUUUUCACUGUUUAGAAAUCAAACACUUCGGUCAUAACAAGGAAAUCUAUUCCCUUAAUGAAAUCUAGUGGAGUUGAAAAAUAUGAUUUUGAGUAACUUGUUUCUUAUGUGUGACAUGACUUUAUAAAAAUACUUUGAAUUUUUCAAGACAUUAAGAUGUGUUUGAUAUAAGCUGACUGCACCCUUUUAUGUAGUCCCUCUUGUGACCAGCAGGCUUUUUUGAGUGAUACCUGUCUGGGGAUAGGGGUAUGUGCAUCACUUCAGUUCAGUUGCUCAGUCAUGUCCGACUCUUUGCGACCCCAUGAAUCACAGCACGCCAGGCCUCCCUGUCCAUCACCAACUCCCGGAGUUCACUCAGACUCACGUCCAUCGAGUCAGUGAUGCCAUCCAGCCAUCUCAUCCUCUGUCCUCCCCUUCUCCUCCUGCCCCCAAUCUCUCCCAGCAUCAGAGUCUU